GAGCUUGUAGGUCCAGUGAACAGGACCCCCUCCGCCGGGUCCAUUCUGGGGCCCAGCGCGGCAGACCCCCGUCUGCCCUCACUCCUAGUCCCCAGCCAGCUCCCGUCCAGCCCCCAGACCCUCCUUCUCUGGGCUUUGUCUCUUUCCCAGGCCAGGAGGUCACCUGAUCCCUUUGGCGCCAACACCUUCAGUUGGCACCUUUGCAGAGGAGGGGCCCAGGCCAUUAGUUGCUAGGAGGCAGUGUCGGGCAUUUAUGUACCCUGGCCCUUUGCUCUGCAGCAACCAGACACCCUUAUCCCACCCCCUAGAGACUGAAGAGCUGCAUAGGGGAAACUGAGGAAAACAUUAAGAACAGUCCCACUUCGUCACAGUCCGAAAUUCCCUCACUGGUCCUGUGUCCCAACGAACUCCCUCUCCCCUCCCUCGUUAAACCAGGGACACUGAGUCCCACCCCCGCGGCAUGCAAACCAGUGACAAAACCCAGAGAACCCCCCCACUUCAUUACAGCGAUGGUGGGACACUGACCCAGGUGCUUGGCGGGAGAACAGAGGGGUUGUGUUCUCCACCGGGCGUCACUGACACCCAUUCGGCUACCGAGCGUCUUCCUGUCUUCACCCAGCUCCCCUCCCCCAUGGCGUGGGGUCCAGCUGAGCUUCUCUGACAGGCCAAUACUGAUCCAGGAGGCAGAUUUUCCUGUCCAAAGCCCCAGCAAACCGUGCGGCGCUGUGUUAAAACCAGCGUCAUGUCAGCCACAUACCGCAGGGACCAGUCCUGCCACUUCCUAGCCUGGGCAAGUCAUUGAUUUGUCCCGACCCCUCGAUGGGGGCCUUGUCUUCCCCCCGUGUCGGGGCCGUCAGACGUCUUCCCGUUCCGGGACCCAGAGCACGGCGAGUGGUUUGGCUACCUGGCGCAGGACGGGAAGGUGGCGCUCACCAUCAAGGGGGGACCCUUCAAGGGCUGCUUCCAUGUGCCACGUGCCCUCUACAUGUGCGAAGAGAUCCUGGAGAAGCUGCUGCAGGAGCCCUAGAGCCACCCUUGGGUGCUGAUAAAUAAAGUGCCUCCCUCAGGCUGGGCAGGACGCCUUUCUGGCAGUGAGGCUCCUCCUGUGACUUUUAUUCCUGGGGACCCUGUUGAAGAAUCUGGGGUGGGGAAAUCAUCUACACAGAGAAUGGCCAAUGCCCAGCAUGUUGUGGUGGGAGUUUGCUAUCAAACUUUCCUGGUACUAAGUGCUGGAAGAACCAACUAGGGGCAGAGCUUUUCUGGGCCCCUUACUGAAUGGGGACAGUAACUUGCCAACUAUGCCAAGGGUUGGUCCUGGGGCCAGUUUUGUUUAGACACCAUGUACUGCUUGGGGGGGGGGGGGUGUGUCACAAACUCCCAGCCCCUCCCCAACCAUUCAACAGGGCAAUUGAUUAAGGGGGGGAGCAGCUCUUGUUCUACUGCUAGCAAAAAGAAAAUUUUCUUCUAUCCUUAGGAGCUAUAAUAUUAUACCAAGGGCAAUGCAAAGUAUUGAAUACUCAAGGAGCUAUCUGAGCCUCUAGCUAUUAUCUUUGGAAAAUCAUGGGAGAGAUUCCAGAAGACUGGAAAAGGGCAAAUGUAGAAACAACAAUCGUGUGAGCCUUGUGGAUAAGGGUGAAGCAGUGGAUGUGGUAUACCUAGACUUUAGUAAGGCAUUUGAUAUGGUCUUGCAUGAUAUUCUUAUCAAUAAACUAGACAAAUACAAUUUAGAGACUGUCUAG
ensembl:lncRNA